CGGCAAGCCUGAACGAGCGAUGCCGCGUGAGCGAUGAAGGCCUUCGGGUUGUAAAGCUCAAAAGAAGCGAGAAAGGGAAACUUGAUCAAGCUUCAGUAAGCUCGGGCUAAGUUCGUGCCAGCAGCCGCGGUAAGACGAACCGAGCGAACGUUGUUCGGAAUCACUGGGCUUAAAGGGCGCGUAGGCGGAAUUGCAAGUCCGGGGUGAAAUCCCACAGCUCAACUGUGGAACUGCCUCGGAUACUGUGAGUCUCGAGGGUGGCAGGGGUAUGCGGAACUAUCGGUGGAGCGGUGAAAUGCGUUGAUAUCGAUAGGAACUCCGGUGGCGAAGGCGGCAUACUGGUCCACUUCUGACGCUGAGGCGCGAAAGCCAGGGGAGCAAACGGGAUUAGAUACCCCGGUAGUCCUGGCCCUAAACGAUGGGAACUAGCUAGUAGGCUUCACAUGGGUUUACUGGCGAAGCAAAAGUGCUAAGUUCCCCGCCUGGGGAGUAUGGUCGCAAGGCUG
rnacentral:rRNA from 1 species